AAGCGGAGAAAGGGGAGGGCGGCUAGCUCCUGUCACACGUUUGGGUAAAGCUUAUCCUGUCACACUCUACGGUGCUUUGUAGUGUCACGUAUUAUGAGAGCGAGGUGGAUUCCCACACGAUAAGGAAACCCAGACCGCGAUCCUCCGCCCGCAGCUCCUCUGUACUUACCCCAGCAUUGACGUAACCAGAAAUCUUGUGAGGCCACGCAACAAUUGGAGAAAGCCGUUUCGUCAUCGAUAUGCUGAACAGCGUGUAAAGCGGACAGAGGAUUGCCGGUCUGUGUUUCCUAAAGAAUAAGGAAUCAAUGGAGAAAAAAAAAGUGGAAAACAACCUAACACCCGAGAUCGCGCAAACUCCAUCGCAUUUUCGCAUUCCCUAUGGAAGUCAAUGAAGAAAAAAAAUGUUUUGAAAAAAAAAAUAACGCUCAUCGUGCAAACAACAGCCCUUAAAAAAAAUUUGUGCAAUCUUUUUAUUAAAAAUGUUUUAUCAGACAGUGUUAAUAUGAGUUUAAGUGUACAUUAAAAUGUAUUUUUGAA